UAACAAGGAUUCCCCUAGUAACUGCGAGUGAAGCGGGAAAAGCUCAAAUUUAAAAUCUGGUGGUCUUCGGCCAUCCGAGUUGUAAUCUAGAGAAGUGUUACCCGCGUCGGACCGUGUACAAGUCUCCUGGAAUGGAGCGUCAUAGAGGGUGAGAAUCCCGUCUUUGACACGGACUACCGAGGCUUUGUGGUGCGCUCUCAAAGAGUCGAGUUGUUUGGGAAUGCAGCUCAAAAUGGGUGGUAAAUUCCAUCUAAAGCUAAAUAUUGGCGAGAGACCGAUAGCGAACAAGUACCGUGAGGGAAAGAUGAAAAGAACUUUGGAAAGAGAGUUAAACAGUACGUGAAAUUGCUAAAAGGGAAACGCUUGAAGUCAGUCGCGUUGGCCGGAAAUCAGCCUUGCUUUUGCUGGGUGUACUUUCUGGUUGACGGGCCAGCAUCAGUUUUGACCGGUGGAAAAAGUCUAGGGGAAUGUGGCAUCUUCGGAUGUGUUAUAGCCCUUGGUCGUAUACAUCGGUUGGGACUGAGGAACUCAGCACGCCGCAAGGCCGGGUCUUUGACCACGUUCGUGCUUAGGAUGCUGGCAUAAUGGCUUUAAUCGACCCGUCUUGAAACACGGACCAAGGAGUCUAACAUGCCUGCGAGUGUUUGGGUGGAAAACCCGGACGCGUAAUGAAAGUGAAAGUUGAGAUCCCUGUCAUGGGGAGCAUCGACGCCCGGACCAGAAGUUCUCUGACGGCCCUGCGGUAGAGCAUGUAUGUUGGGACCCGAAAGAUGGUGAACUAUGCCUGAAUAGGGUGAAGCCAGAGGAAACUCUGGUGGAGGCUCGUAGCGAUUCUGACGUGCAAAUCGAUCGUCAAAUUUGGGUAUAGGGGGCGAAAGACUAAUCGAACCAUCUAGUAGCUGGU
rnacentral:rRNA from 1 species